GCGCCAGUAGUGCAAGCAGCACGCCCGCCUUCCUGGCGGGAGGUCUUGGUUCGAGUCCGGGCUGGCGCU
rnacentral:tRNA from 2 species